rnacentral:rRNA from 1 species
CCUGUACUUCUGGUUACUGCGAUGGAGGGACGGAGAAGGCUAGGCCAGCUUGGCGUUGGUUGUCCAAGUUUAAGGUGGUAGGCUGAAAUCUUAGGUAAAUCCGGGGUUUCAAGGCCGAGAGCUGAUGACGAGUCGUCUUUUAGAUGACGAAGUGGUUGAUGCCAUGCUUCCAAGAAAAGCUUCUAAGCUUCAGGUAACCAGGAACCGUACCCCAAACCGACACAGGUGGUCGGGUAGAGAAUACCAAGGCGCUUGGGAGAACUCGGGUGAAGGAACUAGGCAAAAUGGCACCGUAACUUCGGGAGAAGGUGCGCCGGCUAGGGUGAAGGAUUUACUCCGUAAGCUCUGGCUGGUCGAAGAUACCAGGCCGCUGCGACUGUUUAUUAAAAACACAGCACUCUGCAAACACGAAAGUGGACGUAUAGGGUGUGACGCCUGCCCGGUGCCGGAAGGUUAAUUGAUGGGGUUAGCGCAAGCGAAGCUCUUGAUCGAAGCCCCGGUAAACGGCGGCCGUAACUAUAACGGUCCUAAGGUAGCGAAAUUCCUUGUCGGGUAAGUUCCGACCUGCACGAAUGGCGUAACGAUGGCGGCGCUGUCUCCACCCGAGACUCAGUGAAAUUGAAAUCGCUGUGAAGAUGCAGUGUAUCCGCGGCUAGACGGAAAGACCCCGUGAACCUUUACUGUAGCUUUGCACUGGACUUUGAGCCUGCUUGUGUAGGAUAGGUGGGAGGCUUUGAAGCGUGGACGCCAGUUCGCGUGGAGCCAUCCUUGAAAUACCACCCUGGCAUGCUUGAGGUUCUAACUCUGGUCCGUAAUCCGGAUCGAGGACAGUGUAUGGUGGGCAGUUUGACUGGGGCGGUCUCCUCCUAAAGAGUAACGGAGGAGUACGAAGGUGCGCUCAGACCGGUCGGAAAUCGGUCGCAGAGUAUAAAGGCAAAAGCGCGCUUGACUGCGAGACAGACACGUCGAGCAGGUACGAAAGUAGGUCUUAGUGAUCCGGUGGUUCUGUAUGGAAGGGCCAUCGCUCAACGGAUAAAAGGUACUCCGGGGAUAACAGGCUGAUACCGCCCAAGAGUUCAUAUCGACGGCGGUGUUUGGCACCUCGAUGUCGGCUCAUCACAUCCUGGGGCUGAAGCCGGUCCCAAGGGUAUGGCUGUUCGCCAUUUAAAGUGGUACGCGAGCUGGGUUUAGAACGUCGUGAGACAGUUCGGUCCCUAUCUGCCGUGGACGUUUGAGAUUUGAGAGGGGCUGCUCCUAGUACGAGAGGACCGGAGUGGACGAACCUCUGGUGUUCCGGUUGUCACGCCAGUGGCAUUGCCGGGUAGCUAUGUUCGGAAAAGAUAACCGCUGAAAGCAUCUAAGCGGGAAACUUGCCUCAAGAUGAGAUCUCACUGGGAACUUGAUUCCCCUGAAGGGCCGUCGAAGACUACGACGUUGAUAGGCUGGGUGUGUAAGCGUUGUGAGGCGUUGAGCUAACCAGUACUAAUUGCCCGU